CCGAAAGGCAGGAGUGCCUGCAAGGGAGCGCGGAGACAGGUGGUGCAUGGCUGUCGUCAGCUCGUGUCGUGAGAUGUUGGGUUAAGUCCCGCAACGAGCGCAACCCUCACCUCUUGUUGCCAUCAGGUCUUGCUGGGCACUCUAGAGGAACUGCCCCGGUCAACGGGGAGGAAGGCGGGGAUGACGUCAAGUCAUCAUGCCCCUUACGUCCUGGGCUACACACGUGCUACAAUGGCCGGUACAAAGGGAUGCCACACCGCGAGGUAGAGCUAAACCCAAAAAGCCGGUCUAAGUUCGGAUUGGAGUCUGCAACUCGACUCCAUGAAGGAGGAAUCGCUAGUAAUCGCGUAUCAGCACGACGCGGUGAAUACGUUCCCGGGCCUUGUACACACCGCCCGUCACACCACGAAAGCCAG
rnacentral:rRNA from 1 species